rnacentral:pre_miRNA from 1 species
CGGUGUCUCCGAAAAUGUGGCCGGAUACGUGUCGGAUUGUCCAAAAAUAGUGCAUUUUUGAAGGAUCCGACACGGGUGCGGCUACAUUUUGGAGAGUUCGCG